CACCUCUAGCAUUUCAAGUAUUAGAGGCAUUGCCUGCCCAGUGACUAUAGUUUAACGGCCGCGGUAUCCUGACCGUGCAAAGGUAGCAUAAUCAUUUGUUCCUUAAUUAGGGACUAGUAUGAACGGCUAGACGAGGGAUCAACUGUCUCUUAUUUUUAAUCAGUGAAAUUGACCUUCCAGUGAAGAGGCUGGAAUACAAUAAUAAGACGAGAAGACCCUAUGGAGCUUAAAUUAAUAAGCUUAAUUAUUACUUAAACACCCUAAUGGAACAAAACAAAAAAUAUAAGCUUAAAAUUUUGGUUGGGGUGACCUCGGAGAACAAAAAAUCCUCCGAAAGAUUAUAACAUAGACCUACAAGUCAAAGUAACUUAAUUAUCUAAUUGACCCAAAAAUUGAUCAACGGACCAAGUUACCCUAGGGAUAACAGCGCAAUCCUAUUUAAGAGUCCAUAUCGACAAUAGGGUUUACGACCUCGAUGUUGGAUCAGGACAUCCCAAUGGUGCAGAAGCUAUUAAUGGUUCGUUUGUUCAACGAUUAAAGUC
rnacentral:rRNA from 1 species